UACGUNCCAGCAGCCGCGGUAAUACGUAGGUCCCGAGCGUUNUCCGGAUUUAUUGGGCGUAAAGCGAGCGCAGGCGGUUAGAUAAGUNUGAAGUUAAAGGCUGUGGCUUAACCAUAGUACGCUUUGGAAACUGUUUAACUUGAGUGCAGAAGGGGAGAGUGGAAUUCCAUGUGUAGCGGUGAAAUGCGUAGAUAUAUGGAGGAACACCGGUGGCGAAAGCGGCUCUCUGGUCUGUAACUGACGCUGAGGCUCGAAAGCGUGGGGAGCGAACAGGAUUAGAUACCCUGGUAGUNCACGCCGUAAACGAUGAGUGCUAGGUGUUAGGCCCUUUCCGGGGCUUAGUGCCGCAGCUAACGCAUUAAGCACUCCGCCUGGGGAGUACGACCGCAAGGUUGAAACUCAAGGGAAUUGACGGGGGCCCGCACAAGCGGUGGAGCAUGUGGUUUAAUUCGAAGCAACGCGAAGAACCUUACCAGGUCUUGACAUCCCGAUGCCCGCUCUAGAGUUAGAGUUUUACUUCGGUACAUCGGUGACAGGUGGUGCAUGGUUGUCGUCAGCUCGUGUCGUGAGAUGUUGGGUUAAGUCCCGCAACGAGCGCAACCCUUAUUGUUAGUUGCCAUCAUUCAGUUGGGCACUCUAGCGAGACUGCCGGUAAUAAACCGGAGGAAGGUGGGGAUGACGUCAAAUCAUCAUGCCCCUUAUGACCUGGGCUACACACGUGCUACAAUGGCUGGUACAACGAGUCGCAAGUCGGUGACGGCAAGCUAAUCUCUUAAAGCCAGUCUCAGUUCGGAUUGUAGGCUGCAACUCGCCUACAUGAAGUCGGAAUCGCUAGUAAUCGCGGAUCAGCACGCCGCGGUGAAUACGUUCCCGGGCCUUGUACACACCGCCCGUCACACCACGAGAGUUUGUAACACCCGAAGUCGGUGAGGUAACCUUUU
rnacentral:rRNA from 1 species